ACUGUCAAGAUUGCAAGUUUUAUGCAGCAAGAGAGAGAGAGAGAGAGAGAGAGAGCUCUGUUUCUGCUCUGUUUUUUGUUGAGCUGUUGUUGGGUACGUACUCCGUACUAGUACAUGCAACAACCAACGACGCUAAGAAUGUGCGUUGUUGUGCUGCUUUGCAGAGUGGUAGUGCGCUGAACUGUACGGUGGAUUUGGG
rnacentral:lncRNA from 1 species